rnacentral:rRNA from 1 species
UACGGAGGGUGCAAACGUUGCUCGGAAUCAUUGGGCGUAAAGCGCACGUAGGCGGUUUGUUAAGUCGGAUGUGAAAGCCCCGGGCUCAACCCGGGAAGUGCAUUCGAAACUGGCGAACUUGAAUAUGGAAGAGGGUCGCGGAAUUCCCGGUGUAGAGGUGAAAUUCGUAGAUAUCGGGAGGAACACCAGUGGCGAAGGCGGCGACCUGGGCCAAUAUUGACGCUGAGGUGCGAAAGCGUGGGGAG